GCUGCGUUUCCGCCCUGGGCCGGUUCGCUCCCGUUAGUGGCAGAAACGAUCAAAAUUACCGUUUAGGUCCGACGAUUUUGCUACCGAGUAUGAUUUUUAAUUUUCCACCUCCGCCAUUCAUAUUUAAUGUGUUAAAAUUUGAUUUUUCACUUCUAAAAAUAACAGGCCUGAUUCAGUUGACGGUCACGUUCAGUGUUAAUUAACGGUCAGUUCUACAGUAAUCGUAUAAAAAAGAAUAAUUUUAUCUGUGCUCGACCGGACCGUAAUGCCUAACGUAGUAGUUUGUAAGCAAGCUAACGUGUCGACUGGUAAAGAAAGAUAAACGCCAUAUUCGGAUGUUUACCCGUUUAACGAGAGAACAAAUUUCCGGAAAAGGAACGUUUCGACUUUAUAAAUCUUUAGGAAGCUAACCAGAUGAUGGUGAUUUACAGAUAGACUUUAUAUUAUGCAUUUUGUAGAGUACUUUUUCUUGUUGUAAUAUAUGUAUAGUAUAUUCGUUCAAAGAUAAAUCAAAAUGACGGGCAUGAAUUGUUACCGUGUCUCGAAAAUGAAAAAGAAACCCUGUAAAAUGUGUCAUAAGUUGAAAAAAUGUUGUUAUAAAUUGUUUUUAAUGUGUAAACGACGCAAAAAAAAAUGGCAAGAAUUAAUAACAGCCAUUUUUUACGUAUUAUCUCAUUAUGUAAUAUUUAAUCUCAGUUUGUUGGUGAAAUAUUUUUUAAAAUGAAACUUUAUGUACCGGUAUCAAAUAAAUAAAUUAUAACGAU
rnacentral:lncRNA from 1 species